rnacentral:rRNA from 1 species
GCGACCCCAGGUCAGGCGGGACUACCCGCUGAAUUUAAGCAUAUAAAUAAGCGGAGGAGAAGAAACUUACAAGGAUUCCCUUAGUAACGGCGAGCGA